GAUGAACGCUGGCGGCGUGCCUAAUACAUGCAAGUCGAGCGAACAGACGAGGAGCUUGCUCCUCUGACGUUAGCGGCGGACGUGUUAGUAACACGUGGAUAACCUACCUAUAAGACUGGGAUAACUUCGGGAAACCGGAGCUAAUACCGGAUAAUAUAUUGAACCGCAUGGUUCAAUAGUGAAAGACGGUUUUGCUGUCACUUAUAGAUGGAUCCGCGCCGCAUUAGCUAGUUGGUAAGGUAACGGCUUACCAAGGCAACGAUGCGUAGCCGACCUGAGAGGGAGAUCGGCCACACUGGAACUGAGACACGGUCCAGACUCCUACGGGAGGCAGCAGUAGGGAAUCUUCCGCAAUGGGCGAAAGCUUGACGGAGCAACGCCGCGUGAGUGAUGAAGGUCUUCGGAUCGUAAAACUCUGUUUUUAGGGAAGAACAAAUGUGUAAGUAACUAUGCACGUAUUGACGGUACCUAAUCAGAAAGCCACGGCUAACUACGUG
rnacentral:rRNA from 1 species